rfam:Oryza sativa (indica cultivar-group) chromosome 3, whole genome shotgun sequence.
AAAAACUCAAUUCCUGGGUUUCCGUAUCUAACGUUUCACCGUCCGUCUUAUUUGAAAAAUUAUAAAAAAAUUAAAAAGAUAAGUCAUGUAUAAACUAAUAUUCAUGUUUUAUCAUCUAACAAUAAUAAAAAUACUAAUCAUAAAAAAAAUUUAUAUAAUACGAACGGGUCAAACGUUGGACAUAGAAACCCAACAAUUGACUCUUU